GAUGAACGCUGGCGGCGUGCCUAAUACAUGCAAGUCGAGCGAACGGACGAGGAGCUUGCUCCUCUGACGUUAGCGGCGGACGGGUGAGUAACACGUGGAUAACCUACCUAUAAGACUGGGAUAACUUCGGGAAACCGGAGCUAAUACCGGAUAAUAUAUUGAACCGCAUGGUUCAAUAGUGAAAGACGGUCUUGCUGUCACUUAUAGAUGGAUCCGCGCCGCAUUAGCUAGUUGGUAGGGUAACGGCUUACCAAGGCGACGAUGCGUAGCCGACCUGAGAGGGUGAUCGGCCACACUGGAACUGAGACACGGUCCAGACUCCUACGGGAGGCAGCAGUAGGGAAUCUUCCGCAAUGGGCGAAAGCCUGACGGAGCAACGCCGCGUGAGUGAUGAAGGUCUUCGGAUCGUAAAACUCUGUUAUUAGGGAAGAACAAAUGUGUAAGUAACUGUGCACGUCUUGACGGUACCUAAUCAGAAAGCCACGGCUAACUACGUG
rnacentral:rRNA from 1 species